GAAGUACACUGGGUGUACACAGAGAGCUUGAUUAUGCUCAGAUUGAACGCUGGCGGGAUGCUUUACACAUGCAAGUCGAACGGCAGCACGGACUUCCGGUCUGGUGGCGAGUGGCGAACGGUGAGUAAUGUAGUCAGAACGUGCUUAGUAGCGGGGGAUAACUACGCGAAAGGUAGCUAAUACCGCAUACCCUUCGGGGAAAGCGGGGGACCUUCGGGCCUCGCACUAUUAGGAGCGGGCCGAUAUCGGAUUAGCUAGUUGGUGGGUAACGGCUCACCAAGGCGACGAUCCGUAGCUGGUUUGAGAGGACGACCAGCCGCACUGGUCCAGGUGACGCCCAGACUUUACGGAGUGCAGUGGGGAAUUUUGGACAAUGGGGGAAACCCUGAUCCAGCCAUCCCGCGUGUGCGAUGAAGGCCUUCGGGUUGUAAAGCACUUUUGCAGGAAGAAACGGCACGGGAUAACACCCUUGCAACUGACGGUACCUGCAGAAUAAGCACCGGCUAACUACGUGCCAGCAGCCGCGGUAAUGCUUGUGGGUGCCAUGUUGCUAAUCGGAAUUACUGGGCGUAAAAGCGUGCGCAGGCGGUUCGGAAAGAAAGAUGGCAGAACCCAGAGCUUAACUUUGGAACUGCAUUUUUAACUACCGAGCCAGAGGUCAGAGGGAGGUGGAAUUCGCGUGUAGCAGUGAAAUGCGUAGAUAUGCGGAGGAACACCGAUGGCGAAGACAGCCUCCCGGGGACAACACUGACGCUCAUGCACGAAAGCAGUGGGGAGCAAACAGGAUUGUACACUCCUGUAGUCCACGCCCUAAACGAGGCCGAACUAGUUGUCGGGGCCUUCGGGCCUGGUGGCGCAGCUAAUCGCGAAGGACCGCCUGGGGAGUACGGUUCGCAAGAUUAAAACUCAAAGGAAUUGACGGGACCCGCACAAGUUGUGGAUGAUGUGGAUUAAUUCGAUGCAACGAAAACCUUACCUACCCUUGACAUGUCUGAAUCCCGAAGAGAUUUGGGAGUGUCGGCAAGAGAACCGGAACACAGGUGCUGCAUGGCUGUCGUCAGCUCGUGUCGUGGAUGCUGGGUUAAGUCCCAACGAGCGCAACCCUUGUCAUUAGUUGCUACGAAAGGGCACCCCCACGAGACUGCCGGUGACAACCGGAGGAAGGUGGGGAUGACGUCAAGUCCUCAUGGCCCUUAUGGGUAGGGCUUCACACGUCAUAAUGGUCGGGACAGAGGGUCGCCAAUCCGCGAGGGGGAGCCAAUUCCAGAAACCUGAUCGUAGUCCGAUCGCAGUCUGCAACUCGACUGCGUGAAGUCGGAAUCGCUAGUAACUCGCGGAUCAGCAUGUCGCGGUGAAUACGUUCCCGGGCUCCUGCAGCACCGCUCGUCACACCAUGGGAGUGGGUUUCACCAGAAGUAGUUAGCCUAACCGUAAGGAGGAUUACCAUUGUAGGAUUCAUGACUGGGGUGAAGUCGUAACAAGGUAG
rnacentral:rRNA from 1 species